GCAGUUCUGACAUCUAUGAGUGGGCGGCCAGCAAAGGCAGAGACCUCCAGCACAGAGGAGUCACAGGAACCCAGAACACGCUGUACCCCAAUGCCAGCCCCAAGGGGGCCACCUCAGGGUUUCAUGGGCAGAGCCAUCCUGCAGCUUCAAGAUCUACAAGAUGGAGAUGUCUCUAGUACCUAACCCCACUGCUUUGAGCCUGCCCACUCAGAUUUGGGAGCUGGUGAGGGUCAUGACUUGGAGCACACUGGCCACCAGAAGACGCUCAGAGGGAGAGGAGCUGAAGACCUUCUGGCCUGGGCUGGGCAGCAGUUCAGUUGCUACAGAAACAGACUGAGUGCGGAGAGGUGGCCGUCCUGUGCGGGAUGCUUUCUAAGGAGCCCCCAGAAAUCAACAUAGAGCUUCUUCUAUCUGAUCUCUCACAGCUGUAAACCUUUCAUGAGUCAAGCUUUGUGUAAAAAGGACAAAUUAAAAGGCAAGAAAAAAAUUGCAAUACCAGGACUAUGGAGGGGGAAGACAUCUAAUAACAGAUUAUUUCAGAAAACCCCACAUUGUGCUCGAAUCUCUGUCUAUUGUGUCUCUGUCCGACAUACUCAUCUUUGAGGACAAUGUUCAAAAGUUGCUCCUGUUCUCAGUGUGGUGUGAAACUAGAAAACUACAUUUCAGGGAAAACAAUAUAAUUAUUUUGAAGGUAAAUAGGUUUUCAAGGUUUAUUCUUCAAUUAUGAAAAGGUUUUCUAAAGUAAAACUUACUAUUCCUCUCCACGAACACAAUCCAGACCCUCCUCAGUGGGGUUAUAAAAUACCAUAUUCACUUUCCUGAACCUUUUGCUGAAUCUCAUAUAAAGUUUUGUCACAGAACCUCAGAUUUUUUCAUAAGGUCUUGUGUACCAUGCCGUGCCUGGGACUUGCUUUCUUUACUUUGUUUCUUUUUUUUUUUUUAAGAAGUAGCCAGCAAAUAUCUUUUUUGCUUUAGAGAUAUAAACCGCUUUGUAUUUUCUGAUUACUUGCAAAAUGUUGAAAAUGCUUUGCUCACUCUUCUUUUCUCAAUUCCUCCCUCUCAGGACCUAGAAAGGCACCCGCCCCACCCAAGCCCAGUGGACAGAUGCCCCAGGCUGCACAUUCUGUCAGUGCUGUUCUCCAAGAGGCCCAGACACGUGCUGAAACAUGGAAGGUGAGGCCAGCAAGCGGCUGACACACAUUCCACCCAGCUGACCCCAUAAGCCCAUGUCCUAAACCAUUCGCAUUGUUCCAGUAACUGUUCUGUUAAAAAGAGAAAAUAGGCUGGUGUGGUGGCUCACACCUGUAAUCCCAGCAGUUUCGAGGCCAAAGCAUAAGAAUUGCUUGAGCUCCAGACUUCCAGACAAGUCUGGGUGACAUAGUGAGAGCUCAUAUCUACCAGAAGUAAAAAAAUUAGCUCAGCCUGGUGGGGUGCACCUGUGCUCCUAGGUCCUCGAAAGUCUGAGGUGUUUGAAUUGCUUGUGCCCAUGAUUUCAAGGCUUCAGUGAACUGUGAUCGUGCCACUGCAUUCCAGCCUGGGUGAUAGAUAAA
ensembl:lncRNA